ACGUAGGGUGCGAGCGUUAAUCGGAAUUACUGGGCGUAAAGAGCGCGCAGGCGGUCGUAUAAGUCGAAUGUGAAAGCCCCCGGCUCAACUGGGGAGGGUCAUUCGAUACUGUUCGACUCGAAGGCAGGAGAGGGAAGUGGAAUUCCGGGUGUAGUGGUGAAAUGCGUAGAUAUCCGGAGGAACACCAGUGGCGAAGGCGACUUUCUGGCCUGUUCUUGACGCUGAGGCGCGAAAGCUAGGGGAGCAAACGG
rnacentral:rRNA from 1 species